rnacentral:rRNA from 1 species
AUGGCGGCGAGCAAAGGCGCGAGGAAGAACCUGGUGUCGAGGACCCUGGAGCGGUGCAGGUCCGGGCUCGCCAGCGGCGGCCGGUCGUCGGCGGCGGUGGCGCCGGGGUGCUUCUCGGUGUACGUGGGCCCGGAGCGGGAGCGAUUCGUGGUGCGCGCCGACCGCGCCAACCACCCGCUCUUCCGCCGUCUCCUCGACGACGCCGAGCAGGAGUAUGGCUACGCGGCGCAGGGGCCCCUCGCGCUGCCCUGCGCCGUCGACGCCUUCCUCGACGUGCUCUGGCACAUGGACCACGACGUCCACCACGACGACGACGACGAGGUCGCCUCGGCACCGUCGACGCCGAUAUGCGGCCUGCAGCGCGCCGGCAGCGGGAACAUCAAGGUCCGGCCGGCGGGGUACCGGGUGCUCAGCCCGGCCAAGUCCACGCCGGCGUCCUUCUUCUCGCAGACGGCGGCUGGCGGUAGGAGGUGA